GACGAACGCUGGCGGCGUGCUUAACACAUGCAAGUCGAACGGAAAGGUCCUGCUUUUGUGGGGUGCUCGAGUGGCGAACUGGUGAGUAACACGUGAGUAACCUGCCCUUGACUUUGGGAUAACUUCAGGAAACUGGGGCUAAUACCGGAUAGGAGCUCCUGCUGCAUGGUGGGGGUUGGAAAGUUUCGGCGGUUGGGGAUGGACUCGCGGCUUAUCAGCUUGUUGGUGGGGUAGUGGCUUACCAAGGCUUUGACGGGUAGCCGGCCUGAGAGGUUGACCGGCCACAUUGGGACUGGGAUACGGCCCAGACUCCUACGGGAGGCAGCAGUGGGGAAUAUUGCACAAUGGGCGGAAGCCUGAUGCAGCAACGCCGCGUGCGGGAUGACGGCCUUCGGGUUGUAACCCGCUUUCGCCUGUGACGAAGCGUGAGUGACGGUAAUGGGUAAAGAAGCACCGGCUAACUACGUG
rnacentral:rRNA from 1 species